CAUAAUUUCAAAUUUAGAAGAAAGAUAAAAAUUUUGGUGUGUGUGGAUACGUUUCUCAAAUUAAUUUCUCGCAAAAACAAUAUGACUGUAAAAUUAUUGUGGAAUUGCGCUAGGAUAAUCUUGAUCUCGGGAUUGUCUUUCGGCGUAUAGAUUAGAGAUUGCGCGAAGCACGAAAUCUGGACAAAUAGGAGUUGAAAGUAAAUAGCCUAUGUUCUGCAAUUUGCUACUGGGCAUAGUCACUGGUGCAGCGUUGUUUAUCUGCGUGCCUAUUUGCACUUCUAGAUUGUUGAAGUCUAAGUGUUUAUGCCCAUCUACACCGAUUUGUCCAGAUUGCGGGCUUACUUAUUGAACUGUAAGAUUCUCGGAACACUCAUGUGAAAUGUUACAUUUAACUGUGAGUGAUACAUUUUCCAAAACAAUCUAAAUGACGUAUCCAGAAUGAUUUGCAUGAGUUGUUGCUCUGCAGUAGCUUUAUUUUGUGUGAUCAUUUGCGGACCCGUGUUAUGUGAGAGAAUGAUAUGCUGUAUUAAUCAAGGAAAGAAAAAGAAGCGUUGACAAAUUGUGGGAGUUGGUAUCUUAUGAUUUGUAUAUCACUGCUGAGUCUAUUCAGCGCCGCCGCGUUGGUGAUUUGUGUGCCAUUUUGUGCUCAAACUCUGCUCCAGCGCAAGUGUUCCUGCCCUCCUGUACCUAUUUGUCCAGACUGUGGAAUCCCUUACUAAAAUCAUUAAGAAUUUACAAAUUCACAUCUUUUUUUUAAGUUCUAACACAUUUUUGAGACGUAUUUUUAUUUUGUAACCCAAGUUUCUUGGCUACACCAAAAAUCAAGCAUUCUAAAGUUUUUAUAUCACCAUUUGCAUCGCAUUUUGUAUUUCAAAAUGAUUUGCAUGACUUGUGCCACCGCUGUCGCCGCUGUAGGUUUCAUUGCUUUAGGCCCUUUGAUUUGUGAAAAAUGGUUAAAAUGUUUGAUGAAAAGCAAGAAGUAGGAGCAGUAAAUUGAUGAUGAACGUAUGGUUUACAUAUCUUUCAUCGGGAUAUUGGGAGCGGCGGCUGUGUUCAUCUGCCUGAGCUUGGGCAGGCAGUACCUCUCCGGCAAAGAGGACGACGAGGGUUGCUGCGUCCAACGUACGUGCGGAAAAUGAUAAGGAACCUUUAACGACCACUGCCAAUAAAUACGGCAGUAGAUUCUUUGGGACAAGUCAAAGAAUAUUCUAGAAGAUGAUUUGCAUGAGCUUUGCAACUGCCAUUACAGCCGCCGGCUUCAUCGUCAUCGGUCCACUACUCUGCGAGAAAUUCCUCCACUGUUUCAUGAAGUCCAAGAAGUGACCGUCUAGUUUCGUUAUCUGAGGUCAAUAGUGAUUUAUGUAAAAUUUCGUGUGAUGUAAUAAAUGAAAUUGCUCAAAA